GUCCAUUUAGUCCAUUUUAGUUUUAGUUCAAAAACAUGUCUGGGCAAAGUCUUUACUGUGAUGUAAACAGUGACUUUGCUAUUUCAUAUCAAGGUGGAACACACCGAACAGACACAUGAACUACUACAUGGUAUUUUACUGAUAACGUGAACCACACAGUGACUUCCUCGCCACACCGAUCCCUGUUACCCCCCACACGGCUCGAGGACCCGACACUGAUCGCUGCACACACGGUCUUGAAUCUAGCGUAACGUUACGUUUGGGCGUUUCGGCAGUGGGCGAACGUGUCCCGCGUGGGAGCGGUUGGUGCCACUGGUAGGAGUGACUGGCUGAUCCCGGUGGUGGUGGUUCCCUUCAUUUUUUCGUUGCAGUGCACCUCGCUGUCAAUAGUUGGUGUGUGGUUUGUUUUGUUUUUCACGUGUGGUGGAACAUUAGUUUUUUUUUAUUAUAAUUUGAUAUUAAAAUAAACUUGUAUACUUUUUUUUAUAGAAUAACGUCCUGUGUUGUCCGAACCUGUGUCUUGUCAUUGACCUCAGACUGGUGGUCCUUGUUAAUUCCUGGGGUGAAAUUCCCUUGGUGGCGUUGUUGGCUUUAAUAGUAAAAUACAGAUCUUCCUUCUUAGCAUUGCCACAGUUGCUUUGCUCCUUUUGUUUAGCAGUGUUAAUAUAAACUAACUUCACAUUUAGUUGUGUUUUAUGGAGCAGGAGGAAGCAGCACCAAGCUCUGUGUGGUGACAUUGAGCUAUUGUGGCUUUGACAUAUUCUGUAAUAUUUUACGUUAGUUAAAAUAGCUCGUAAAGUCAAUAAAUGUGUUUGCUGCUGCUGCCUUAAGAUUGCAAUUCUACAGUUGAAAGUACACGGUUUAACCGUGUUUGGACCAGGUCUGUGUGGAUCUUAUGCUAGUGUUUUACCGUUUAAACGAUAGAAUUAAAAUACAGAAAUACCAUUUUCUCCUGUUUUCGUUGUCAAACCAAAAAAAUGUAUUUAUUUGCCUAUAUACACUUUUAGCGUCAACACACAAUGGAACGUUUGUAUGCUAGACAAACGCGUAUACCAUUAGAAGACAAGUGAAUUAAUGAACAUGAAUAAAUCAUCCUGGGUCAAUGGGAGUGUGUUAACCACAA